rnacentral:rRNA from 1 species
GAUGAACGCUAGCGGCAGGCCUAAUACAUGCAAGUCGAACGGGAUCCAGAUCAAAGCUUGCUUUGGUUUGGUGAGAGUGGCGUACGGGUGCGUAACGCGUGAGCAACCUACCCUUGUCAGGGGGAUAGCCCGGCGAAAGUCGGAUUAAUACCGCAUGACAUCAUUGAGAGGCAUCUUUCGAUGAUCAAAGAUUUAUCGGACAAGGAUGGGCUCGCGUGACAUUAGCUAGUUGGUAAGGUAACGGCUUACCAAGGCUACGAUGUCUAGGGGCUCUGAGAGGAGAAUCCCCCAAACUGGUACUGAGACACGGACCAGACUCCUACGGGAGGCAGCAGUAAGGAAGAUUGGUCAAUGGACGGAAGUCUGAACCAGCCAUGCCGCGUGCAGGAAGACGGCCCUAUGGGUUGUAAACUGCUUUUAUACGGGAACAAACGUCGGUACGUGUACCGGUCUGAGUGUACCGUAAGAAUAAGGAUCGGCUAACUCCGUG